AGUUAAGCACAAUAAGGGCGUUUGGCGGAUGCCUUGGCACUGAGAGGCGAUGAAGGACGUGGCAGGCUGCGAUAAGCUUCGGGGAGUUGCCAGCACACUUUGAUCCGGAGAUUUCCGAAUGGGGAAACCCCAUCCAUCAGGAUGAUCGUUGACUGAAUACAUAGGUCAACGAGGCAAACCCAGGGAACUGAAACAUCUCAGUACCUGGAGGAAAGGACAUCAACAGAGACUCCGCUAGUAGUGGCGAGCGAACGCGGACUAGGCCAGUGGUACGAUCGUAAGAACCGGAACACUCUGGAAAGGGUGGCCAUAGCGGGUGAUAGCCCCGUACGGGUAGAAAGCGGUCGUAUCCUCGAGUAGGGCGGGACACGUGAAAUCCUGUCUGAACAUGGGGGGAUCACCCUCCAAGCCUAAGUACUCCUCAGUGACCGAUAGUGAACAAGUACCGUGAGGGAAAGGUGAAAAGCACCCCGACAAGGGGAGUGAAACAGACCUGAAACCGAACGCCUACAAACAGUCGGAGGCCGCAAGGCUAACGGCGUACCUUUUGUAUAAUGGGUCAGCGACUUACUCUGUGCAGCAAGCUUAAGCCGAUAGGUGUAGGCGCAGCGAAAGCGAGUCUGAAUAGGGCGCUUAGUUGCACGGAGUAGACCCGAAACCGGGUGAUCUAGUCAUGGGCAGGUUGAAGGUGCGGUAACGCGCACUGGAGGACCGAACCGGUUACCGUUGCAAAGGUAUCGGAUGACCUGUGAUUAGGGGUGAAAGGCCAACCAAACUCGGAAAUAGCUGGUUCUCCGCGAAAACUAUUUAGGUAGUGCGUCGUGUGAUUACCGUCGGGGGUAGAGCACUGGAUGGGCUAGGGGGAUCCAAAGUCUUACCAAACCUAACCAAACUCCGAAUACCGGCGAGUACAGUUCGGCAGACAGACGGCGGGUGCUAAGGUCCGUCGUCGAGAGGGAAACAGCCCAGACCGCCAGCUAAGGUCCCUAAGUCAUGGCUAAGUGGGAAAGGAUGUGGGAAGGCCAAAACAACCAGGAGGUUGGCUUAGAAGCAGCCAUCCUUUAAAGAAAGCGUAAUAGCUCACUGGUCUAAUAGCUGUCCUGCGCCGAAGAUGUACCGGGGCUCAAGCCAUGUACCGAAGCUGCGGAUGUGGAUUUAUCCACGUGGUAGCGGAGCGUUCCGUAAGCCUGCGAAGGUGACGCGUAAGCGU
rnacentral:rRNA from 1 species